GAAAUGCGAUAAGUAAUGUGAAUUGCAGAAUUCAGUGAAUCAUCUAAUCUUUGAACGCACAUUGCGCUCGCCAGUAUUCUGGCGAGCAUGCCUGUUCGAGCGUCAUUUCAACCAUCAAGCUCUGCUUGCGUUGGGGAUCCGCGGCUGCCCGCGGUCCCUCAAAAACAGUGGCGGGCUCGCUAGUCACACCGAGCGUAGUAACUCUACAUCGCUAUGGUCGUGCGGCGGGUUCUUGCCGUAAAACCCCCAAUUUCUAAGGUUGACCUCGGAUCAGGUAGGAAUACCCGCUGAACUUAAGC
rnacentral:misc_RNA from 1 species